AUUAGAAAGGAUUGUUUCUAAGCAGGGAAGAACAUCUCAGUGAGAACUUUCCUAUUCAAUUUUGCCUUCAUAGAGAGCAUGUUCAAGUGGAGAGGACUAUUAAUAGUAAAAACUCUACAUUCUAUAGGCUGAGGUCAAUGGCAUGACUUCGAUGGAUGUUAGCGCCUAAGUCUGUCACAGAAAUAUUCAGCGUUUGCUCAGAGACUUGUCAGCAGAAAGGUGGCAGGCCUUGUGAGAAAAACGGACAUUUUUUUUUUUUGGGGGUGUGUUAUCAAUCAGAAAUCAAUAGCCCUUCAAGAGCGAUAGGGAAUUAUGAUUAAUAAGACCUAGAAGUACCUUCCAAACAAUGAAAACCAAACCAGAACAAAAUGAGAAAAAACAAACAAACAAAACCCAAACUACUAACUCAUGGUUUAAUUAUUUAAUUUAAAAUGUAAGUGUGCCUUAUGGACCCUAAUUAUACUCAUAUAUGAUUAAUAUAAGUAAUGAGAACACUUCUGUCCUCAAUGAUGCCUGAUAAGCAAUGAUUAACAGUGUCUUCUAUGAUCCUGAACUAAUUUGAGAUGAACUAGUGCAGACUUUUUACUGCAUCUUCUCAGCCUCUCCAGACCAACCAUAUCAUCCCUACCAUCACUGAUGAAAUGGGGAACAAUGACACUGAAAGUGGAUUUUUCCUCUUGAAGGAUGCAGCAUUGCAAAGCUCGAAGUCACUGGGGUGGUCUCCCAGCACUUGCCCAGCGGUGGUGGGGUAGGUGGCAGCACAGGGACAGCACCUGCUCUCUGCUUGGUGACUUACAUAGUUGAUCCGGAAGUGUCUACAGGCCCAGUCGUCCUGCUCUUCCUCUGAAAUCAUCUCCACAGUGAUGUCUCCGUAGGCUAUAGGUUCUUCCGUGAAUGGCCAGUAAUGGUCACAUUUCACCUGGAGCGAGGACAAAACAAUUGUUUAAAACAAACAGGCUAGGAAAGCAAUUAAGCCUGUGCUCACUUAGGGAAAACAAAGGUAUUUGCCUGUGACGAAUUAGAUAGGACCGUGGUGAAGAUGAAACGUAAAGCAAAUACAAUCGUUUUUGCUACAUAGUGUGAAUUCUUAUCACAUGACUUGGGUCAUUCUUAUCAUACCUAACUGAAACAGAGUUGAGGGGUCAGGGGAUAAAGCACUCAGAACACCCCAGCUACUUGGGAGGCUGAGGCAGGAGAAUCGCUUGAACCCGGGAGGCAGAGGUUGCAGUGAGCCGAGAUCGCGCCACUGCAUUGCAGCCUGCGCGACAGAGAGAGGCUCCGUCUCAAAAAAAAAAAAAAAAAAAGCACUCAAAACGCGUAACAUUGUUCCACGAAUAUAAUUCUCUGUAAACCCUGAUUGCCGAAACUGCCGUUAGUAACUUAAAACCAGUGUUAUCUAAUAGCAACUGAAACAACCUGCUGCGACUCUGAGACUAGUUUUACCCACCACCAUCCAUUCACCAAUCUGAGCUUGCCAGCUCCCCGAAACUUUACUAGUGCUAAUGAACUUUCCUGCAAAACAAUAUGCAGUAUUUCUCCUUUUUAGAAGACUUCCAACCUUCUCUUUUUUCCUUUGAACAUUGCAAAGACCACCAGGUCUGUGUGUUUGCCCCCAAAUCGUAAUUCUUGCUUCCCGAAUACAAUGUUUUAAAUUUAGCGCUUUGUCUCUAUGUUUUAUUUGACUUUGAAAACAGCAAGCAUUUCAUCAGUGGCAGACGCUGGGGCAGGUUUUGCUGCUAAGUGGGAACUGCUUCAGUAAGUGCCUGCCAUGUCUGCCAUGAAAAGGACAUGACCAGGGAAGCUGCUAGUCCCAGAAUGAGGAGACACAGAGGGCAGACCUGACUCUGACCCAUAGCCUGAAGCAGAACUGCCCCAGCUGUUCCACAGACCCGCUCAUAAAAUGGAAGCAGUAUUCUUAGGAGAGUUCGCCAGACUGCCAAAAAGGAUCAUGGCAUGAAAAAUGAUGGCAAUCUCUAUUUUAAUAACUAGCUGAAAGAAUCAGAACCACCCCUCCUAAAUAUCUUUGGCUGGAACAUGGAGGUAAUGAUGAUAAAGGUUUAUCUCUAGAGACAAGGACUGUGCAUAGUGGCAGAUGGAACAACAAAAGAGAAUUUGCCUCCCUGGACGACCUCUUAAAGCAGAAGUGCCUGGUUAGUCCUGUGCUUUAAUGGGAGAGAUGUGAGAAUUGAGACCAUCUCUGUCAAUAUGCUCAGACAAUACCUGUAGACUACUGGUUCAGCAUCAUUUAUUUAUUUGACCCAGGAAAAGAUAGAAAAUCGUCAACAUCAAUACAUUGGAGACAACAGACUGCUUACCAGGACCAGCCUGGACUGGACAGAGAAAUGGAGUUGUUGGACAAGCUUUCUCUAAGAGUGACAGACUCAGAACAACUAUAGCGAAAUAUCAAAGGACUGCCCUGGGGCCAAUUGCUUUGUCAUUACUUAUUUCAUCAAGACAAGCAUCUAACACACAAUAAAUGACUGCUACAAAGGUACUCUUUUAUUCUCAAGAGAAAUAUGUCAACUCUGUGAGCAGAUACUACAAAUGUUUUCCAAACUUGUUUAAAAAGCUUUCAGUUAGAAAAAUAAAGAUGGCAAAAACACAUUAUUAACUGACAGAUAACGUUAGUUUCAGAGCUCAAAAGUUAUCUUAGUCAUCAUGUACUUUAAUUCCCUCUUUUAUGAAGGUGGAAGCUGAAACCCAAAUGUCACUAAAUGCCAGCUCAUGCCUAAUGUCACAGAAAUAUUUGUGCACUAAUCCCCACUUCUUAUAUUCCCAACUUAUUAUUGCUCCUUAAAUUUGGGAUAAUGUAAUUAAGCCUUUAACAAUGGGGUAGAAGACAAUAUUUGAUAGGCCAUCAUGAAUUAAUUUUACUCUUUGGAGAUCAAUACAUGUUUCCUCUUCCCCUUAACAUGUAGAAAGCCCCAGGAUAACAUCACUUCUUCUCCACCUCAACAAGCAAAAGCCAUGUAAUCCACGAAAUCAUAACUAUCCUUGAGGUUACAGGAGAGGUGAAAUAGCAAGUCAAUCAAGUAAUAUGAAUUCCAAGGCGUGAACAACCCCUCUGGAGAGAGGCGACACACUAUUUCACCUUUUGGCAAAGCACAGCAGGAAGAGGAUACAACAUUGAAGCAGGGUCUGCCUAAGCCUGAGGCUGGACCAUGAGAACCAAGAACAUCUUCUGUCCCCGCCAAAAAGUUAGCGAUGAGAGAAAAACAAGAGCAGUCUAUUGCUGGAGGAGCUCUUCUGUGGUGCCAGUGUUCAGGGCUUGCUGCAUACUGAGGGUGGAACUGAAACACUGAGAAAUACCCUCUACCACUCCUGGCAGCCUACCAUGGGAAGAACUGGAAAUCUGUGAUGAACGGAAGGUGUCUAAUACCUCAAACCCAGCUCAACUAUUGACUAGAUCGACUCACUGCUCAUUCUACAUAACAGCCUAGCAAUAUGGUAAAUUCAAAUUCAACCAUAGAAAUAAUUGUAUUAUAUUAUAAUAAUAAAUAUUAAUAAUUACAUGUAUAUUGUCUAAACCUACACAUUUAAAUUGGUAGUAACUAGCUACAUAUGGCUAUUUAGCAAUUAAAAUUAGGCUAGUGCAGCUUUAUUUUUAUUUUAAUUUAAUUUCUGUUUGAAAGUUAAAAAAUGGGUAAAUUUGUAUAUUGAUUAUAUGUUGAAAUAAUAUUUUGAAUGUAAUGGAUUAAGUAAACCAUGUUAUUAAAAUUGAUUUCACCUUUUUAGAAAGCAUUUUAAUAUGUCUACCAGAAAAUCUACUAUUACAUAUGAGGUUAACAUUCUGUUUUUAUUGGAUAGUGCUGUCCUAAGUACUCCAGUUAAAAGACAGAGAUUUUUAGAUUGGAAAAAAUAAAAAAAACAAGACUCAACUCUGUGCUGUCUACAGGAAACCGUUUUACAUGUAAAGACAGAAGUAGGCUGAAAGCAAAAGGAUGGAUUAAGUAUGCCACACAAACACUUAAAAAAGAAAACUAAAAUGACUAUUUUAAUAUCAGACAAAGGAAAAAUUAACACAAGGCAUAUUGUUUGGAAUAUAGAGGGACAUUACGUAUAGUCAAAAGGGUCAGUUUAUCAAGAAGACACAGCAAUCUUAAAAGCUUUUGCACCUAAUAACAACAGAACUUCAAAAUACGUAAAGCAUAAACCAAAAUAAGUGAAAGGAGAAAUAGACAAAUUUACAGUUACAGGUGGAGACUUUCAGAUUCCUCUAUCAGUCAUUAUUAGAAAAAACAAACAGAAAAUCAGUAAGGAUAUAGAAGACUUGAACAAACAACGUGACCUGGCUGGUACUUAUUGAAACUUCACCCAGAAAGUGCUCACAGAAUACACAGCAAGAAAGACCAUAUUUGGGCCCAUAAAACAAAUCUCAACAAUUUUCAAGUAAAUGAAUCAUAUAAAAUAUGUUCUCUGAUCACAACAGCACUUCCUCUAGAAAUCAAUAAAAGAAAAUGUCUGCAAAAUUUCCAAAUGUUUGGAUAUUCAACACACUUGUAAGCCCUACAGGUCAAAGAAAAACAUCACAAAGGAAAAUAGAAUAUAUUUUGAAUGGAACUCAUCAUAAAUGCUAAGUGAUAUUCGAGAAAUCUUUUAGCAUCUACUUACCUAUCAAAUUUCUUCACGAAGGCUUAGCUAAAGGGCUGAAUCAUUCAGCUGCAACUGAUGAGGAAUGGCUGAGUGCAUGCUCAUAAAUGUUGGAUUAGCAACCGUCAUUACAGUCCUAAAUUUAUUUUUCUUUGUGCCUCAUUUUUUUUUUCUGUGGAUCUCUAUUACUUGCUCAACUAAAUUGAACUAAUAUUUAUGGAUCAUCUAUUAAGCAAGCAUAAGGCUUGGGCUAGGUGUUUAUGAAAUUAUGGAGAUAAGUAAGACAGUUUUUGAUUUCAAGGAGUUCGUAUUAUAGGCAUUAUGUGUCUAUAUCUGCUGCCUAAAUCUGACUUGCAAUUCGUCUUUUUCUAGAGCUUGUUUAAGACAGUAUUUUACCAGGUAAGUGCUCCCUUUAAUUCAGCUAAUAGAUUUGUUCAUUAUGUCUAUAAACUUUGAAGGUCUUGGGUCUACACCAUUCCUAAUUUUUAGGACUCACUACUGAUCCUGGGACUCUGUCAAUGGAGACAUUAAAUUUUUGACAGAAGUAUUAAAAAUAUAUCCUCUAGCUUGGUUCUGAGUUUUUGCUUCUUGUAGUUUCUGUUUCCUUUUAUCCCAACAGACAAUAUCACUGUCUUUUCCCUUAAUUAUCACAAGAACAAUCAUGCGUAGAUGGCAUUUAACAAAUUGCAGUUGUUGCAAAACUUGCACUGAAGAACAUAAGCAAAAGGGACUUUGCUGAGCCAUUAUAUUGUGCUAGUGAUAAACUCGGCUGUCUUACAGAUAUCAGUUUUUCUUCCACAUGUCAACAUAGACAGUAGAGUCACGUCUUAAUUUGACAUUAGAUAUUAAAGUCAGUGAGUAAAGUGAAAAAAAAUCACAUGGAGUUAAAACCAUUCCUAAAAAUUUCCCAAUGUCAGCCUUAACUCUAUAUGACAUGGACUCAUGAAGGUUAAAAUGCCAGUGAUUUUUUUCUUGGCAUUUUUUCUUAAGAAGUAGAAGGCAAAGCUAUUUUGAAGACGAGGUAGGGAAUAACUGAUAAAUAUAUCUUUUUCUCUCUUUCAGCCAGUGACCUAUACGUGAAUUUGAGCAGGCUAAAUAGGAGUAUCAGUUCAUUGUCCCCACACUGAAUUGCUAAAUAUGAGAGUACGU